UUCUUUUUACGACUGACCAUUUCAUCAUCUUUCUCUUCUUUUCAUGGGAAGCUCAAGUCGUGAGUCGUGGGUGUGGCUUCAUCCUCAACGCCUUGGGCCCACCCUGUCAUGAGAUGAUGGGCCCACAUCGGUGGGGCCACGUAUUGCCAUGCCUAGCCGCUCUUGGAAACCUCCAUCUCCACUUCGCCGGAACUUGAGCUUCCGAUACCGGUGAUGGAGGCGACGUUUCCAGAAGGAAGAAGCUGAUAUCAUUCCUUGGCCAGGCACAUGUGCUUUUAGAGUCCAGGCAGAUUCAUCAACUUCAAACAUACUGUCCUGAUUUGAUCUUUUCAACGGGAUUUUGAUUGCCUUUGUUCAGUUUUUGAACGUCAACCUCACAUUGCAAGAUUCUUCUCAAUAAUAUUAUCUUUCCUUUCCUAAUUAAAGGAUGGAGAGGAAAACGAAAGAAGAAGAAAUGGAAAUGAAACACUAUCCAGCUGGAGUCUGCCACAUUUUAGUACAUUGAACCAUGGUAUGGGAUGUUAUAUGUCAAAAACUGUACCUUUAAGGUUAACUACUUACAGGUGUGCCCCUGUCAAUAUGCGUUUUUCGAUGAUCGAACUUGUAACGAUUUAGUGACCGCACUUGAUUGAUAAAUUUUAAUCCCAUAGUAAUAUUUUAAUAAUGGUUUGCUAGUGAAAUAUAAUAG